UACGUAGGAGGCAAGCGUUGUCCGGAAUUACUGGGCGUAAAGCGCGUGUAGGUGGUGGGACAAGUCUGCUGUGAAAGCGCCUGGCUUAACCGGGCGAGGUCGGCGGAAACUGUCCGACUCGAGGACGGUAGAGGGGGGUGGAAUUCCCGGUGUAGUGGUGAAAUGCGUAGAGAUCGGGAGGCACACCUGUGGCGAAGGCGGCCCCCUGGGCCGGGCCUGACACUGAGACGCGAAGGCGUGGGGAGCGAACGGG
rnacentral:rRNA from 1 species